AUUGAACGCUGGCGGCAGGCCUAACACAUGCAAGUCGAGCGGAUGAGGAAAGCUUGCUUUUCGAUUCAGCGGCGGACGGGUGAGUAAUGCCUAGGAAUCUGCCUGUUAGUGGGGGAUAACUCGGGGAAACUCGGGCUAAUACCGCAUACGUCCUACGGGAGAAAGUGGGGGAUCUUCGGACCUCACGCUAACAGAUGAGCCUAGGUCGGAUUAGCUAGUAGGUGAGGUAAUGGCUCACCUAGGCGACGAUCCGUAACUGGUCUGAGAGGAUGGUCAGUGACAAUGGAACUGAGACAGGGUCCAGGGUCCUAAGGAAGGCAGCAGUGGGGAAUAGUGGACAAUGGUCGAAAGCCUGAUCCAGCCAUGCCGCGUGUGUGAAGAAGGUCUUCGGAUUGUAAAGCACUUUAAGUUGGGAGGAAGGGUAUUCACCUAAUACGUGGGUACUUUGACGUUACCAACAGAAUAAGCACCGGCUAACUCUGUGCCAGCCGCCGCCGUAACAC
rnacentral:rRNA from 1 species